UACGCUCUCCCUUGGUUCCAAUGCUGUGAAAGAAUCCCUGCGCUCUGUUAUUGUACAAAAAACACGAAGAACGUUUGGUGUU
rnacentral:ribozyme from 1 species